rnacentral:rRNA from 1 species
GAGUUUGAUUCUGGCUCAGGAUGAACGCUGGCGGCGUGCCUAACACAUGCAAGUCGAACGGAGAGUGUGAACGGAAGUUUUCGGACGGAAGUUCAUACUUCUUAGUGGCGGACGGGUGAGUAACGCGUGGGCAACCUGCCUCAUACAGGGGGAUAGCAGAUAGGAAUGUCUGAUAAGACCGCAUAAGUCCUUUGUUUCGCAUGAAACGGAGGGGAAAAGAGCAAUCUGGUAUGAGAUGGGCCCGCGUCCGAUUAGCUAGUUGGUGAGGUAACGGCUCACCAAGGCGACGAUCGGUAGCCGGACUGAGAGGUCGGACGGCCACAUUGGGACUGAGACACGGCCCAAACUCCUACGGGAGGCAGCAGUGGGGGAUAUUGCACAAUGGAGGAAACUCUGAUGCAGCGACGCCGCGUGAGUGAAGAAGUAUUUCGGUAUGUAAAGCUCUAUCAGCAGGGAAGAUGAUGACGUACCUGACUAAGAGCCCCGCA